rnacentral:misc_RNA from 1 species
GGCUGGAUCACCUCCUUUCUAAGGAUGAGCCUUCAUGGCCGGAUUUUCCGGUCAUAUCGGAUCGUCAUUGGAAUAUUAGGGGCGAAAGUCACGCCCCAUUUGCGGGACACCGCCGUCUACGUUUCUCUUUCUUUCGGGUCGCAUGAUAGGCGAGGGCUGAUUAUCGGGCCUGUAGCUCAGUUGGUUAGAGCGCGCGCUUGAUAAGCGUGAGGUCGAAAGUUCAACUCUUUCCAGGCCCACCAGGAUCGGGAAUGAGUGGUUGGACGGCAGCAUCGAUUGCCGCUCCUUCUGACCGCAGACCCUGAACUACCGGCCCAAGGGGGCCGUAGCUCAGUUGGGAGAGCGCUAGCUUUGCAAGCUUGAGGUCACCGGUUCGAUCCCGGUCGGCUCCACCACUUAGCCAAUUGCCAUCAUGCCAGUGCCGGAAUUCGUCCGGCCGACCCAUCAGAGUUCGCCCGCUUGCGCGGUGCGUUAUGCUAAUUGACAUCGUGAAGAAGGGAUUUGUCUGUAUUUGCCGCGAGCCGCGGCUGUGGCGCAUGACCGCCCACAACAGGCAAAUCUUGCACAAUCAACUAGUCUUUCUUCAAUGACCAUUCGUUUCGGAGUCUGCCGAGAACCGGCUCCGGAGCAACUAGGAUGGGCAUUGAUAAUGAGAACGAUCAAGCGACUUAAGGGCAUUUUGUGGAUGCCUUGGUGCUGAGAGGCGAUGAAGGACGUGGUACGCUGCGAUAAGCUUCGGGGAGCUGCGAACAAGCUUUGAUC